AGAGUUUGAUCCUGGCUCAGAUUGAACGCUAGCGGCAUGCUUAACACAUGCAAGUCGAACGGUAACAGAUCUAGCUUGCUAGAUGCUGACGAGUGGCGGACGGGUGAGUAACGCGUAGGAAUCUACCUUAUAGUGAGGAAUAACCUGGGGAAACCCAGGCUAAUACCGCAUGUGCCCUAAGGGGUAAAGCAGGGGACCGU
rnacentral:rRNA from 1 species